UCUUUGUGCAGCUGCCUCCUCUCCAGUACUAUCUCCUGCGAAUUCUAGCUGUCUUUGUCUUCCCAGAGUCUCAGUUCUUUCUCCUCAACUCGGGGAACCUGCAGGGCUCUGCCUGGGUUUCCCCUGCCUGUACUACAUUCUGCAUUAAGGCUUUGAGCUUCUGAUUGGAGGCAUUGAAGUCGGCCUGUCCCACUUCCCCUUCUUUGCCUGCCUCUCGUCGGAAUUCCAGCUGGUCAGCUCCAUCUUGGGCUUCUGCUACUCUGAUCUGGUUUGCUGUCACCAUUAUUCAAGUUUCACAGUGUCCCCACGGGCAGG
rnacentral:lncRNA from 10 species